rfam:Peptoclostridium acidaminophilum DSM 3953 plasmid EAL2_808p, complete sequence.
CCCUUGGACUGUUACACCAAACCAAAGUAGCAUGCUUCACCGCAAAAUGGGACAGGAUGAAUGGGGAA